UUUCAAAAGAUACCUGCUUGUCAAUACCCAAUCUUGUCAGAUCUCAGAAGCUAAGCAAGGCCCCGGUGUGAUCACUACUUGGAUGGGAGACCACUGGGACUAUCAGGUGACAC
rnacentral:rRNA from 1 species